rnacentral:lncRNA from 1 species
GCACAGCAGGGGUGUCACUGGGAUCCCCACGGAGGACAGCCUCUGAUGUGCUGGGCUGCUCCUCUCUGUUGGCAUUUCUGGUGCUGCUGUUGGGUCUGGGGCUUGAUGUGACGGUCCCCUGUGGGGAGGCUGUGGGGCCAGGGGCAGCCACAGAGCUGUCCUCCUGCCCCCUGUCUGCAGGGCCCUCCUCCUGCCCUGUGGACACGUGGACGCCCUGGAGGCCCAGCUGCCCGUGGGCCUCCUCGCCCCAGCGGUUCACAGUAGCGUCCACAAGGCCCUGGAUGAGCGUCUCCGCUCUGUCCCCCAGGGCAGGCCGCAGCAGCUGGGUCAGGGCCUCGGUGUCCAGCCCGAUGUUACACAGGGUGUUCAGGAUGAGGUUCUCUGUUGCCAUUGCCUCCCACCACUGUGUCCCAAAGAUGGCUCGCAGCUCCUGGCGCAGCCAUGGCAGCACAGGGUCGAGGAUCUCCGGGUGCUGCCUGAACAGGGCUGCCCAGACCUCCAGCAGGAGACCGCCCACCAUAGGCCCCUCCUCUGCCUCCAUAUCCUCCUGCUCCUCUGGAGGGGAUGGCACAUCAUGCUGGCGGCGGUAGAUGUAGGCGAUGCCAGCCUGGAAGCAGGCAGGUAGUGGUGGUGCUGGGGGACAGGUGAUGAAAUCCAGGUCGUCCUCAUUGUCCCAUGCAGCAACCUUAAUGACUGGCAUGACUCUCCUGCAGAGCAGGCAGGUCUCUCUGCUUGGCCCGCCGCAGGAUGCAGCUGAGGCAGAACUCGUGAUGGCACAGCACUGCAUAGGCAAUGUCCUUUUGCACGUCACGGCAGAUAGGACAUGUCCACGCCUUGUCUGCUGCCGUGGUCUUCAUGCUGUGGCCUGAUGGGGAAUGAAGAUGAAUCGCUCUCCCUCACCAGUGCCUCAUUGUUGAAAGUUGUGUGCGGCCAGAGGGAGAGAGGCCAUGGUCAUUUCAUGUCCCAGGGACAGAUAGAAGAAACGUCCUGCUCCCUCAGAGGGAACCCUGCUGACUCUGUGCCUUUGUCUCCCAAUGCCCCAUGCCUUCGCAGGGUCACACUGCAGCCCUGGCCUUGGCAGCUCCCCAUCCCAGAGCUCAGUCCUUUGCUACCCUGGGGGAUGCGUUCUCACCCGGCUUACCUGUGCUGCUGCACGUGCACUUUGUGGGGCCCCAGCUGCCUGAGCCAGGCAGGCCAGGGAAUUACAG